GCCUCACAUAGCUCAUCCUAAAAUAGAAAAUCAACAAUUUAGAUGAUUAUAGAUAAUGAUAUAAAAAUAAAUUUAAAAAAAAUAUAUAAGUGGUUAAAGCAUUAGACAGACAAUUCUUUGCGCUGCUGCAUCAUUUAUAGGAAUCUUAUCUUUAUGUUGAUGAGUAAGAAUGAAAAGUUUUGCUCGUGUAGGUGGCCUACCAUC
rnacentral:lncRNA from 1 species